AAGAUUGCGUUGAUGGAAAAGAGUAUCUGUCAUUCUCCAUAAAAAGCGAACCCGGGACGGUGGAAGCCGGGAUAUGGAUUUACAGGGAAGGGCGUUCCGGAGCAUGUUGCUUUGAAAAGAGGCCGUUUUGUAAACGGCAAUUAGGGUGGAACCGCGGGUAUACUCUCGUCCCUAUG
rnacentral:ncRNA from 1 species